rnacentral:rRNA from 1 species
CAUGGCUCAGGAUGAACGCUAGCGGCAGGCUUAACACAUGCAAGUCGAGGGGUAACAGGAAUAGCUUGCUAUUUGCUGACGACCGGCGCACGGGUGCGUAACGCGUAUAGAAUCUACCUUAUACUGGGGGAUAGCCUUUGGAAACGAAGAUUAAUACCCCAUAGUAUUAUUUUUUGGCAUCAUUAAAUAAUUAAAGUUUCGGCGGUAUGAGAUGACUAUGCGUUCUAUUAGUUAGUUGGUAAGGUAACGGCUUACCAAGACUUCGAUAGAUAGGGGUCCUGAGAGGGAGAUCCCCCACACUGGUACUGAGACACGGACCAGACUCCUACGGGAGGCAGCAGUGAGGAAUAUUGGACAAUGGAGGCAACUCUGAUCCAGCCAUGCCGCGUGUAGGAAGACUGCCCUAUGGGUUGUAAACUACUUUUAUAUGGGAAGAAUAAGGUCUACGUGUAGAUCGAUGACGGUACCAUAAGAAUAAGCACCGGCUAACUCCGUGC